UGGGGCUGUAGCUCAGUGGUAAAGCACUUGCCUGGCAUGUAUGAGGCCCUGGGUUCGAUCCUCAGCACCACAA
rnacentral:tRNA from 1 species